rnacentral:lncRNA from 1 species
UUUUGAUUAAUUUCUUGCACUUGAUUUCCUGAACUAUUGGACUGAACUUCUAACUCUAAUUAUUCUUUGACAUCAUGAUCUAAUUUUGCUAUUAUCUUCUCAUUCUGACUGUCUAGUGAAACAGACUCAUUAAAUAUCACAUCUCUGCUGAUAAUCAACAAUUGAGACUUGAAAUCACUACACAACAACCUGUAGUCUUUCACACCAGAUGUAUACC